UUAUGCGCGAUACAAGUGCGGUGUUGAAAGACAGUCCAUAUAUGCACUGCCUUUCGACACUGCACUUGUAUCGCGCAUUA
rnacentral:pre_miRNA from 1 species